UACGGGGGGGGCAAGCGUUGUUCGGAAUUACUGGGCGUAAAGGGCUCGUAGGUGGCCAACUAAGUCAGACGUGAAAUCCCUCGGCUUAACCGGGGAACUGCGUCUGAUACUGGAUGGCUUGAGUUUGGGAGAGGGACGCGGAAUUCCAGGUGUAGCGGGGAAAUGCGUAGAUAUCGGAAGGAACACCAGUGGCGAAGGCGGCUACCUGGCCUAAUACUGACACUGAAGCACGAAAGCGUGGGGAGCAAACAGG
rnacentral:rRNA from 1 species